GCCGUUGUAGCUCAGUCGGUAGAGCAACUGUUUCGUAAAUAGUAGGUCGGAAGUUCGAUUCUUCUCAACGGCACCA
rnacentral:tRNA from 1 species